AAAUUGAAGAGUUUGAUCAUGGCUCAGAUUGAACGCUGGCGGCAGGCCUAACACAUGCAAGUCGAACGGUAACAGGAAGCAGCUUGCUGCUUCGCUGACGAGUGGCGGACGGGUGAGUAAUGUCUGGGAAACUGCCUGAUGGAGGGGGAUAACUACUGGAAACGGUGGCUAAUACCGCAUAACGUCGCAAGACCAAAGAGGGGGACCUUCGGGCCUCUUGCCAUCAGAUGUGCCCAGAUGGGAUUAGCUAGUUGGUGAGGUAACGGCUCACCAAGGCGACGAUCCCUAGCUGGUCUGAGAGGAUGACCAGCCACACUGGAACUGAGACACGGUCCAGACUCCUACGGGAGGCAGCAGUGGGGAAUAUUGCACAAUGGGCGCAAGCCUGAUGCAGCCAUGCCGCGUGUAUGAAGAAGGCCUUCGGGUUGUAAAGUACUUUCAGCGGGGAGGAAGGUGUUGUGGUUAAUAACCACAGCAAUUGACGUUACCCGCAGAAGAAG
rnacentral:rRNA from 1 species